UGGGGAAUGUUGGACAAUGGGCGCAAGCCUGAUCCAGCCAUGCCGCGUGAGUGAUGAAGGCCCUAGGGUUGUAAAGCUCUUUCACCGGUGAAGAUAAUGACGGUAACCGGAGAAGAAGCCCCGGCUAACUUCGUGCCAGCAGCCGCGGUAAUACGAAGGGGGCUAGCGUUGUUCGGAUUUACUGGGCGUAAAGCGCACGUAGGCGGACUUUUAAGUCAGGGGUGAAAUCCCGGGGCUCAACCCCGGAACUGCCUUUGAUACUGGAAGUCUUGAGUAUGGUAGAGGUGAGUGGAAUUCCGAGUGUAGAGGUGAAAUUCGUAGAUAUUCGGAGGAACACCAGUGGCGAAGGCGGCUCACUGGACCAUUACUGACGCUGAGGUGCGAAAGCGUGGGGAGCAAACAGG
rnacentral:rRNA from 1 species